UACGGGGGGGGCAAGCGUUGUUCGGAAUUACUGGGCGUAAAGGGCUCGUAGGCGGCCAACUAAGUCGGACGUGAAAUCCCUCGGCUUAACCGGGGAACUGCGUCUGAUACUGGAUGGCUCGAGUUUGGGAGAGGGAUGCGGAAUUCCAGGUGUAGCGGUGAAAUGCGUAGAUAUCUGGAGGAACACCGGUGGCGAAGGCGGCAUCCUGGACCAACACUGACACUGAGGAGCGAAAGCCAGGGGAGCAAACGGG
rnacentral:rRNA from 1 species